UAUGUACCAAUUCUUACAUGUCCUACUGGGGGGUCACUGUUAGUUUUGGUAUGUUGGGAGAUAUCAUUAUUGCCGAACCCAAUGCCCCACAUAUUUUUUUAAAAAUAUAUUUAUAUCGUGUACAUUCGUGUAUACUUUUGUGUAUAUAAGAUAAAAACCCGAACCCGACACUAAACUCGACGUGUAUUUUCAUGUUCGUGUACCGAAUAUUGAAAAUCAAACUCGAACUUUUCGUGUCGUGUUCCAAAUUGCCAGGUCUACUCAAGGGUUAUUAGGUGCAUAGUGCACUCUUAGGGCAAAAUGGAGGGUGCCAAUUUUUAAAAUUGAAAUGCAUUGUUUGUAAUAUAUAGGAACACUUUAUAUUAUUCUGAUUUUUGUCAAUUAAUUUAUAAUCGUUGUGGCCCUAAUAUUUAAAUUGUUGAGGAUGAAAAAAUUGAGGUGUUUCAGCUAUAGAAAAGGGCCUUCAAGAACCUCAUUUUUAAAGAUGGUUAGAGACUAGAAUUCCUUCCCUCAGGAUGCGAGAGCACAGGCCAGACAAAAUGCUGAUAACCAGCUUGCCUACUGUGUAUGGACAAGAAAAUGUCCAAGGAGGUAGCCUUGUUGCUGGAAAUUACUGAAGAUUACCCCGUGCAGCUAACCUAAUUAAGCUCCACAACUCAAACACAUAACUAAACACAAGCCCCUUUGGUGUCUCUCAAAAGGCUAGCUAGUUACAACAUCUAAGAAGCCAGGAAAAUCUCAUGGACCCUCGAUUGAGGACAUCUUCACAUCUAGCCACCGAACAAAAGGAGACAUGAGGUGGACAUGGCUAAUCAUCUUCAAUCACUAAACAGCCUCCUCAACAAAAAAGAAGAAUAUUCUUGGCUAAGCUAUUAGAUAAUAAUGAUGAGGACACUACUACCUUAUCAUCUACAUUCAUGAAAUUAAUAUAUAAUACUACAACUCCAGAUAACAGCCAUAGGAGUAAUAAGGAUACAAAUGCUACAACAAAGUUUGAUUAAAUAGCUGAACACGAGGGUGAAAAUAGCUCAUAAGAACUUUUUCCCUAAAGUGGUGGAGCAACACAUAAAAAUCCAGUCCCACACGAACCUCCUCUUCAAAAUAGUGGAGAAGACAAAAAUCAUGACAUUCAUCUUACUAUAAACUUUGGCAUCAAUUUUCGAGCAUGACUCUCUGUUGAAGCAAGGUGUCGAGCACAUAUUUUAUAGCUAGAUGUUUUACGGGUAAGGCUCAUUCUUUUGUAAAAGAACUCCCUGCCCAAGAAGAGACUACCAUGCAUAUUAAAGAAAUUAUUGAAGGUCCAACUCUAGAGAUGGAUCUGGAGGGUGUUGUUCAUCCACAGCUGGAGAAAGUUAUGGAAUUACCUCUUAAGUGGUGGAGCAACACAUAAAAAUCCAGUCCCACACGAACCUCCUCUUCAAAAUAGUGGAGAAGACAAAAAUCAUGACAUUCAUCUUACUAUAAACUUUGGCAUCAAUUUUCGAGCAUGACUCUCUGUUGAAGCAAGGUGUCGAGCACAUAUUUUAUAGCAAGAUUUUUUAAGGGUAAGGCUCAUUCUUUUGUAAAAGAACUCAAUGCCCAAGAAGAGACUACCAUGCAUAUUAAAGAAAUUAUUGAAGGUCCAAUUCUAGAGAUGGAUCUGGAGGGUGUUGUUCAUCCACAGCUGGAGAAAGUUAUGGAAUUACCU
rnacentral:lncRNA from 1 species